rnacentral:misc_RNA from 1 species
UUUCUGGCCUUCUUCCAGCUC